GCGGAAGGAUCAUUAAAGAGUAAGGGUGCUCAGCGCCCGACCUCCAACCCUUUGUUGUUAAAACUACCUUGUUGCUUUGGCGGGACCGCUCGGUCUCGAGCCGCUGGGGAUUCGUCCCAGGCGAGCGCCCGCCAGAGUUAAACCAAACUCUUGUUAUUAAACCGGUCGUCUGAGUUAAAAUUUUGAAUAAAUCAAAACUUUCAACAACGGAUCUCUUGGUUCUCGCAUCGAUGAAGAACGCAGCGAAAUGCGAUAAGUAAUGUGAAUUGCAGAAUUCAGUGAAUCAUCGAAUCUUUGAACGCACAUUGCGCCCCUUGGUAUUCCGAGGGGCAUGCCUGUUCGAGCGUCAUUACACCACUCAAGCUAUGCUUGGUAUUGGGUGCCGUCCUUAGUUGGGCGCGCCUUAAAGACCUCGGCGAGGCCUCACCGGCUUUAGGCGUAGUAGAAUUUAUUCGAACGUCUGUCAAAGGAGAGGACUUCUGCCGACUGAAACCUUUUAUUUUUCUAGGUUGACCUCGGAUCAGGUAGGGAUACCCGCUGAACUUAAGCAUA
rnacentral:rRNA from 1 species